AUGAAACACAACAAACAAGAAUCCGACAAGGACAGGAACAAAAACAGAGAGAGAUAUAGGGGACUAAUCAGAGGGAAAAGGGGAACAGGUGGGAGAAGGGGUGACGAGGUAGUCAAGAGGAGACAAGGAACAGCUGGGGGAAAGCGGGGGAGAAAAGGGAACAGGUGGGAAAAGGGGUGACGAGGUAGUUAGGAGGAGACAAGGAACAGCUGGGGGAAAGAGGGGGAGAAAAGGUAACCUAAUAACGACCAGCAGAGGGAGACAGGGUGAAGGGAAAGGACAGAAACAAGACACAACAUGACAAUACAUGACAAUAACACAUAUGGAAUCAGGCAUUAACCCAAAAAAGUGUUAAACAAAUCAAAAUAUACUUUAUAUUUGAGAUUCUUCAAAUAGCCACCCUUCGCCUUGAUGACAGCUUUGCACACUCUUGGCAAUGUAUGUACUGUAACAGUAUUGCUUCCGUCCCUCUCCUUGCCCCAACUUGGGCUGGAACCAGGGACCCUCUGAACAUAUUGAAAAUUGUCACCCACGAAGCAUAAUUACUUAUCGCUCUGCCAAACUACUACUUCUACGUUUCAGAGCGGGUGAAGCGGGUGAAGUCACUGAUUGAACACGUGUCUUCGCUCGUGACGGUUUGUGAGUUUAUUUGUGUGUAAAAUGUAGAUUCAAGCAUUGUUGUGUGUGUGUGUGCGUGUGCC
rnacentral:lncRNA from 13 species